AGCAGCCGCGGUAAUUCCAGCUCCAAUAGCGUAUAUUAAAGUUGUUGCAGUUAAAAAGCUCGUAGUUGAAUUUUAGGCCUGGCCAGGCGGUCCGUCUUUGGCGAGUACUGUCUUGUUGUCGGGUCUUCCUUCUGGUGAACCAGUAUGUCCUUUAUUGGGUGUGUUGGGGAGCCAGGACCAUUACCUUGAAAAAAUUAGAGUGUUUAAAGCGGGCUAUUGCUUGAAUAGAUUAGCAUGGAAUAAUAGAAUAGGACGUUGUGGUUCUAUUUUGUUGGUUUCUAGGACCACCGUAAUGAUUAAUAGGGAUAGUUGGGGGCAUUAGUAUUCAAUUGUCAGAGGUGAAAUUCUUGGAUUUAUUGAAGACUAACUAUUGCGAAAGCAUUUGCCAAGGAUGUUUUCAUUAAUCAAGAACGAAAGUUAGGGGAUCGAAGACGAUCAGAUACCGUCGUAGUCUUAACCAUAAACUAUGCCGACUAGGAAUCGGGCGACGUUAUU
rnacentral:rRNA from 1 species